GGAGUGCAGGAUCCUGGGCUGUGUCCCCGGCGCCCUGGGAUCUGGGGCCUGCGCUGCUGGAAUCAUGCUCCCAGGGCCACGGCUCC
rnacentral:pre_miRNA from 1 species